rnacentral:rRNA from 1 species
AUAGCGUAUAUUAAAGUUGUUGCGGUUAAAAAGCUCGUAGUCGAAUUUGUGUCCCGCGCCGCUGGUUCAUCGCUCGCGGUGUUCAACUGGCGUGUUUCGCGGGACGUCCUGCCGGUGGGCGCUCGUAUCGUUUCGGCGGUGCGUGGCCCAGCUCGUAGCCGUCUCGCGCGGUUGCGAAUCUCAUUGCGGUGCUCUUUAUUGAGUGUCGAGGUGGGCCGGCACGUUUACUUUGAACAAAUUAGAGUGCUUAAAGCAGGCCAAUUUUGCCUGAAUAUUGUGUGCAUGGAAUAAUGGAAUAGGACCUCGGUUCUAUUUUGUUGGUUUUCGGAACCCCGAGGUAAUGAUUAAUAGGAACGGAUGGGGGCAUUCGUAUUGCGACGUUAGAGGUGAAAUUCUUGGAUCGUCGCAAGACGGACAGAAG